AGACCCGAAACCCGGUGAUCUAGCCAUGGGCAGGUUGAAGGUUGGGUAACACUAACUGGAGGACCGAACCGACUAAUGUUGAAAAAUUAGCGGAUGACCUGUGGCUGGGGGUGAAAGGCCAAUCAAACCGGGAGAUAGCUGGUUCUCCCCGAAAGCUAUUUAGGUAGCGCCUCGUGAAUUCAUCUCCGGGGGUAGAGCACUGUUUCGGCUAGGGGGCCAUCCCGGCUUACCAACCCGAUGCAAACUGCGAAUACCGGAGAAUGUUAUCACGGGAGACACACGGCGGGUGCUAACGUCCGUCGUGAAGAGGGAAACAACCCAGACCGCCAGCUAAGGUCCCAAAGUCAUGGUUAAGUGGGAAACGAUGUGGGAAGGCCCAGACAGCCAGGAUGUUGGCUUAGAAGCAGCCAUCAUUUAAAGAAAGCGUAAUAGCUCACUGGUCGAGUCGGCCUGCGCGGAAGAUGUAACGGGGCUAAACCAUGCACCGAAGCUGCGGCAGCGACACUGUGUGUUGUUGGGUAGGGGAGCGUUCUGUAAGCCUGCGAAGGUGGCCUGUGAGGGUUGCUGGAGGUAUCAGAAGUGCGAAUGCUGACAUAAGUAACGAUAAAGCGGGUGAAAAGCCCGCUCGCCGGAAGACCAAGGGUUCCUGUCCAACGUUAAUCG
rnacentral:rRNA from 1 species